rnacentral:misc_RNA from 1 species
CAAAGAAUUAACUCUGCAUGGGACAUAGGAGAAACUAAAGAGGGAUAGGUCAUACAUUGAUACAUAGUUAUUUUUUAGGAGUGAAUAUGUAUAUAAAACAGAAUUUUGGAAUUAUCAUAUUCCUUGUGUAACAAAAGUGUAAUUAUACCUAAAAAUUAAGUCACAAGAUUCAAAAACUGUGUUAUGAGCUUCUUUCAAUGUGAUUUGUACAG